GAUGAACGCUGGCGGCGUGCCUAAUACAUGCAAGUCGAGCGAACAGACGAGGAGCUUGCUCCUCUGACGUUAGCGGCGGACGGGUGAGUAACACGUGGAUAACCUACCUAUAAGACUGGGAUAACUUCGGGAAACCGGAGCUAAUACCGGAUAAUAUAUUGAACCGCAUGGUUCAAUAGUGAAAGACGGUUUUGCUGUCACUUAUAGAUGGAUCCGCGCCGCAUUAGCUAGUUGGUAAGGUAACGGCUUACCAAGGCGACGAUGCGUAGCCGACCUGAGAGGGUGGUCGGCCACCCUGGAACUGAGACACGGUCCAGACUCCUACGGGAGGCAGCAGUAGGGAAUCUUCCGCAAUGGGCGAAAGCCUGACGGAGCAACGCCGCGUGAGUGAUGAAGGUCUUCGGAUCGUAAAACUCUGUUAUUAGGGAAGAACAAAUGUGUAAGUAACUAUGCACGUCUCGACGGUACCUAAUCAGAAAGCCACGGCUAACUACGUG
rnacentral:rRNA from 1 species